rnacentral:rRNA from 1 species
AGAGUUUGAUCCUGGCUCAGAAUGAACGCUGGCGGCGUGCUUUACACAUGCAAGUCGAGCGAGGCGCGGUAGCAAUACUGCAGUCGAGCGGCGAACGGGUGAGUAACGCGUGGAUGACCUGCCCUUUAGUGGGGAAUAACCCGGGGAAACCCGGGCUAAUACCGCAUAAGACCGAGAGGUGAAAAGGGGCCGCAAGGCUCCUGCUGAAGGAGGGGUCCGCGUCCGAUUAGCUAGUUGGCAGGGUAAUGGCCUACCAAGGCGACGAUCGGUAGCCGGCCUGAGAGGGCGAUCGGCCACACUGGAACUGAGACACGGUCCAGACUCCUACGGGAGGCAGCAGUGGGGAAUUUUGCGCAAUGGGCGAAAGCCUGACGCANCAACGCCGCGUGGAGGAUGAAGGUCUUUGGGAUUGUAAACUCCUGUCAGCGGGGAAAAAGGGAGGUGACCUCAUACGUCAUCGACUUUGAUNGUACCCGCAGAGGAAGCCCCGGCUAACUCUGUUGCCAGNAGCCGNGGUNAUACAUANGGGGGCAANCGUUAUUCGNAAUUAUUNGGGCGUUNAGGGCGCUNUANGCGGNUUUNCAAGNUGACGGGUUGAAAUCCCUCNGGUGUAUCCGANGAACUUGCCUUUCCAANCUUGCCUGGGNUUNNGACCNCGGACAGGGUGANUNGNAAUUCCCNAC